rnacentral:rRNA from 1 species
UACGUAGGGUGCAAGCGUUAAUCGGAAUUACUGGGCGUAAAGCGUGCGCAGGCGGUUAUGUAAGACAGAUGUGAAAUGCCCGGGCUUAACCUGGGAACUGCAUUUGUGACUGCAUGGCUAGAGUGUGUCAGAGGGGGGUAGAAUUCCACGUGUAGCAGUGAAAUGCGUAGAUAUGUGGAGGAACACCGAUGGCGAAGGCAGCCCCCCUGGGAUAACACUGACGCUCAUGCACGAAAGCGUGGGGAGCAAACAGG